AACACAUGAGCUGCUUCUAAUCCUUCUUAGCAGGCAGGCUUGUUCUUCUGCUAAAAAUAUGAAGGAUUUUAUUCUGUUUAUGUGAAGAAAAGAUUUGUAGAGAGACAUGUGCUUUUAGCUAAGAGAAGUUCAGGAUUUUUAUUUUUUACACUGCAUCCUUUUGAAAAGAAAGGUGGAUUUGCAGCAGCAGAGAAGCUCACCUGCUGGACAGUGAGCACCUCCAAAGCUCCCCUAUGGAGGUAAAGGGAUUUGGAAAUACAAGGCAGGACUGUUGAUUCAAAGCAUGGACUUCACCCCUUAUGAAUUUGUCUCCUGAACACCUGUGCCAGCCUCCAGCAGCACUGAGCAACCAAGCUGCAUGGGGACAGCUCCCGUCCCCCAGAGCCAUGGUGUGUGGACUGCAAGUCACAGGACUGGCUGCAGCAGAAACAUCUCAUCGUUAGCACCCGGUGUGGAAGGGCCGAGAUGGUUUUGAGUGGGAUUGAGGCUUUUUUCCAGCUGCUUCUCUGAGCCACUGCGUUGGAAGCCUCCAAAGCUGCAACCYGUUGGUGUCCCACCAUAAGUGGCCUGAAGUUGCUUUGGGCUUUGCUGACAUCUGCUUUGGAAAGGAGGGUUGUGGAGCUCGUCCUGCUGCAGCUCCGGGUGGCUCUAUGGGAAGGCUGCACCAUGGGCAGGGACCAGGUGUGAGCUCGGCUUUGCUGCAUCCUCUCUGGUUGGCCUUGAGCAAAUAGUUAAACAAGGAAAGACUAAAGGAAAAUAAAUUUGC